CAUAAGGGCUGGGAAGAUGGCUA
rnacentral:piRNA from 1 species